GUCUAUGACCAUGCCACCCUGAACACCUCCGAUAUUGUUUGAUCUCGGAAACUAACCAGGGUCACGCCUGGUUAGUACUUGGAUAGGAGACCACCUAGGAAUACCAGGUGCUGUAGGCU
rnacentral:rRNA from 1 species